UUGUGUGAUCCCGCCGCGUUCUCACACAGCUCCAGAAGGACUUCCUCCGCUCUCGCAGCAUCAGUUCUCUUCCAGCCAUCGGUUUGGUAACACUUUGUUCUUACGGCGUAUCUUCGUGUAACCGGUUGUGGAUUCCGUUUUGUGUGUACACAGUUUUUUUUAUAUCCAUUUCCCUGUUUCCUAAGGAAAGUGAGAGUUUUGGUGUGUGCUUCUUUACCGAAAACGACAGCAGUGGGGGACCUCCCGGUGCGUGCGUGAUUGCUUUUCUUCAGCGUUUGGUUCUCAACGCGAGGCUCAGUCAGAAUUAUUAAGUGUGUUGCGGGUGGAUAGACGUCUAGUAUUCCUGCUACUAGGUUUAACAAUUAUGGGGCUUUUACGGCUGAACCCGCUUGCGAUUUGUCUGAUCUUGGUGGCUGCUAAUCUGUGUGCAGCUCAGCAGCAGGCCCCUCCAACAAUUACAUCAAUCAGUCCGGAACAGAUUAAGGAUAUUGGAGAAAGCGUGACAUUCGAGUGCGAUAUCGACAACGUAGGCAAAUUUACGGUUGGGUGGCAAAAGACCAAUCGCGAACGGUCACAAAAUGUGAACUCCAUCUCCCUUGGCCCAACUUUAGCGGUGGCUGAGGAUCGUUUCAAAGUCAGCGUCGAAAAAGAGAACAAUACCAUGAACUACACACUUACGAUCAGCGACAUCGUCAAUACGGACGCUGGACUGUACGAAUGCCAGAUUCAGGUGAACAGUACUAAUAAAGUAACCGCUACGGUUGAGCUCCAGGUUCGUCAUCCACCGCUGCUGCAGGACAACUUGAUGGCAACAACUGUUACAAAAGCUGAAGGGGAAAACGUUAAGCUGACUUGCUCAGCAGAGGGAUACCCACGUCCAACGAUCUCCUGGAAGCGAGAGUACGGUGCUAUCCUUCCAAUCGGUGGACAAAGCUAUACUGGUAACGAGCUAUCAUUGUCGUCGUUGGUCAGGGAAGAUCGUGGCACGUACUUCUGCAUUGCGGAUAAUGGAGUUGGUAAACCAGAUUCACGGACAAUCAACCUUGAGGUAGAGUUUGCCCCUGUCAUUUCUGUACCACGACCGAAGGUAGCACAAGCUACUGAAUACGACAUCGAACUGGAGUGUGUCGUACAAGCAUUUCCAUCACCAGCAGUUUCCUGGUUCAAGAAUGGACAACAAAUCCACAAUGGUGGUUCUUAUGGAAUUACUCAAACUGGCCAACCGGAUGAUGUCACGACAUCGACAGUAAAAAUUUUCUCAGUAGAAAGCUCCCAUUACGGAGACUACAACUGCAAAGCCUCGAAUAAAGUUGGACAUGCUGAAGCAAGACUGAACCUCUACGAAUCGGUUAUCCCAGUUCCCUAUUGAUGUUGUAGUUGAAUUUGAUCAUCCUUAGUUUAGUCAAUCUUUGGUUAAAUUUUGUUUUCUUGAUGAUUCAUUGAGAGCAACGCAUUCCUAAUAUCAAUUUCUCAGGCUUGAAAUGGUCAAGCUCGGGCCGUGUUCUAGCAAGUCAUUUAGGCAUCCUUACGGUAACAGUGCUACUGGCAACGCUGUUGUGAAUGAGAAAAAGAAACUAAAUGCUGCAGCUAAAUUCAAAAUCACCUGAAAGAAAUCUAAGUUAAUAAUAUAACCAAAUACGACAACAAGAAUGUUCAAAUUCAAACCGAUUUGGAGACCCUUGCCUGAAACUCGAGUGCCCGUCAGAAGUGGAUCAAAAUGCUCACAUGUACACAAGAAACAUAUCCAUAUAAGAGAGCGCGUUUACUUAUCCCUAGAAGUGAUCAACCCAUUUCAAUAUUUGCGUAGAGUAUUCUGGAUAUACGAACGAACGGACUUAUUUGUGCGACUGGUGUUUACUGAAAUCCUGUACAAAUAGAGCCGAUCUAAAACAACGGCGAAGCUGAACGUUUAAUAAAAUUUGCUACCUGGUAAACUCGUGAAUCAUCAUACAAAGUUCGUUUUAGUGUUAGGCAUAUAAAAGAUUUUGGAAAAUGGUCUUGUGCGAAUAAAGGCGUUUAAUCGUAAA